AGUGAACGCUGGCGGUAGGCCUAACACAUGCAAGUCGAACGGCAGCACAGUAAGAGCUUGCUCUUACGGGUGGCGAGUGGCGGACGGGUGAGGAAUACAUCGGAAUCUACUUUUUCGUGGGGGAUAACGUAGGGAAACUUACGCUAAUACCGCAUACGACCUACGGGUGAAAGCAGGGGAUCUUCGGACCUUGCGCGAUUGAAUGAGCCGAUGUCGGAUUAGCUAGUUGGCGGGGUAAAGGCCCACCAAGGCGACGAUCCGUAGCUGGUCUGAGAGGAUGAUCAGCACAACUGGAACUGAGACACGGUCCAGACUCCUACGGGAGGCAGCAGUGGGGAAUAUUGGACAAUGGGCGCAAGCCUGAUCCAGCCAUACCGCGUGGGUGAAGAAGGCCUUCGGGUUGUAAAGCCCUUUUGUUGGGAAAGAAAAGCAGCAGGUUAAUACCCCGCUGUUCUGACGGUACCCAAAGAAUAAGCACCGGCUAACUUCGUGC
rnacentral:rRNA from 1 species